GAAAGCAGAAUUUCUAGUGUAGAGGUGAAAUUGGUAGAUAUUAGAAAGAAUACCAAUUGCGAAGGCAGCUUUCUGGAUCAUUACUGACACUGAGGAACGAAAGCAUGGGUAGCGAAGAGGAUUAGAUACCCUCGUAGUCCAUGCCGUAAACGAUGUGUGUUAGACGUUGGAAAUUUAUUUUCAGUGUCGCAGGGAAACCGAUAAACACACCGCCUGGGGAGUACGACCGCAAGGUUAAAACUCAAAUGAAUUGACGGGGACCCGCACAAGUAGUGGAGCAUGUGGUUUAAUUCGAAGAUACGCGCAGAACCUUACCAACACUUGACAUGUUCGUCGCGACUAUAAGAGAUUAGAGUUUUCGGUUCGGCCGGACGAAACACAGGUGCUGCAUGGCUGUCGUCAGCUCGUGUCGUGAGAUGUUGGGUUAAGUCCCGCAACGAGCGCAACCCUCACUUUUAGUUGCCAUCAUUAAGUUGGGCACUCUGAAAGAACUGCCAGUGAUAAGCUGGAGGAAGGUGGGGAUGACGUCAAGUCCUCAUGGCCCUUACGUGUUGGGCUACACACGUGCUACAAUGGCAUAUACAACAGGAAGCAAAACGGCAACGUUAAGCAAAUCCCGAAAAGAUGCCUCAGUUUUGAGCGCAUAACAAUUUCACACAGCAAACAGCUAUAAUCAUUAGUAAUCCUAGAUCAUUAUGUCACAGUGAAGAAUUUUCAAGGUAUGCAUCACACCCCCCGGCACACCAUGGAUAUUGGUUACACCUUGACGCCCGGUAAUAAACCAUUGACCACAGUAUAAUCAGGGAUCGGGGUGAAGUUGUAACCAAGUAACCGUU
rnacentral:rRNA from 1 species